CACAUCUCAACCGAAAUAUUUGUAAAGCGAUACGAACGAGUUACGAGAUGAAAUCCGCAAUGUUCAAAAACGCGAUUCAUAACACAUAUACUUUGAUCUCGUUUUCAUAUCGCUAGUUCGUAUUUGGAUCGCUUGAGUGAAAUGAAUGAAACUAUAUUUUUUUAAUUGCCAUGCAAAAAUAAUAAAUACUACCACUAAUUGUUUUAAAUAAUUUUGUUCCUACAAUAUAUUUUGUUGGAAUUAGUGACGAUAGCAAGUAUUAAAAAACGGCUUUUUAAUUCAACGUUGAAGAAAUUCAUAACCUGUGGCACUUUUGACAGCCGCCAUGUUUUCUUUUCUACAUAAGCUGUUUGCUCAUUUUCGUGUCAACGUAGUUUUUUUGGAAAAUAAGAAGAAAGGAAGUUUAACUAACUUAGAGAAAUACGACUGAGACAUAAUCAUGAACGAGAUGAACACAAGCAGCAGCGGAUGUGCUUGAGUUGCAGAUGGAGCAACUGCGUUGUGAGAGGGCCACGGCUUCAGCCCUCCCAAUGAUAGCUGAUUAACUGAAGCAAUGAACAGACAGGCUGCAGUCAAUGAGAGGCUUCUUGAGCAGGGGCUCCUCAUAUGGAAAAAGGCUAAUGAAAGGAACAAUCAAGACUGGCGGUGCGCGGGAGGAUCCCGUCCCUACGCAUGCGCCUGGCCUUCAAUGGCCUCACGCCUCUCUUCUUCCUCUUCUUCAUGCGUCAAUUCAAACAGAGGAGCACCUGUGAUUACUGAUUACCUAAGUUCCUAUAUACAAUAA